CAAUAGCGUAUAUUAACGUUGUUGCAGUUAAAAAGCUCGUAGUUGGAUUUCUGGAGGGAGCGUCGGCCCGUAUUUACGAGUGCGUGACGUCUCUGUCCAUCCUUGCGGGAAGGCACGGCAUUGAUUUGUUGUGUCGGAUCGCAUCAUUUACUGUGAAAAAAUUAGAGUGUUCAAAGCAGGCUUUCGCUUGAAUACAUUAGCAUGGAAUAAUAAGAUAGGACUUUGGUGCUGUUUUGUUGGUUGAGCCUAAAGUAAUGAUUAAUAGGGAUAGUUGGGGGCACCUGUAUUGCGUUGUCAGAGGUGAAAUUCUUGGAUUUACGCAAGACAAACAGCUGCGAAAGCGUCUGCCAAGGAUGCUUUCAUUAA
rnacentral:rRNA from 1 species